rnacentral:rRNA from 1 species
GAUGAACGCUGGCGGCGUGCCUAAUACAUGCCAGUCGAGCGAACAGACGAGGAGCUUGCUCCUCUGACGUUAGCGGCGGACGGGUGAGUAACACGUGGAUAACCUACCUAUCAGACUGGGAUAACUUCGGGAAACCGGAGCUAAUACCGGAUAAUAUAUUGAACCGCAUGGUUCAAUAGUGAAAGACGGUUUUGCUGUCACUUAUAGAUGGAUCCGCGCCGCAUUAGCUAGUUGGUAAGGUAACGGCUUACCAAGGCAACGAUGCGUAGCCGACCUGAGAGGGUGAUCGGCCACACUGGAACUGAGACACGGUCCAGACUCCUACGGGAGGCAGCAGUAGGGAAUCUUCCGCAAUGGGCGAAAGCCUGACGGAGCAACGCCGCGUGAGUGAUGAAGGUCUUCGGAUCGUAAAACUCUGUUAUUAGGGAAGAACAAAUGUGUAAGUAACUAUGCACGUCUUGACGGUACCUAAUCAGAAAGCCACGGCUAACUACGUG